AGCUGCUGCGCCAUCGUGCCGCCCAGAGACUGCAAAGGGAACUAAAAAGCACCAUCAGAAGUUGAGGCGAGAGUCUACAGAGUGAGACCAACUAUUUCAGAUGGACAGAGACAGGAAAAGGUUUUCGAAGGACUUUGGAUGCCCUUCCUAAUUUGAGGAAGGACAUCCUUGCUAUUGAGGCAGUGCAGCGAAGGUUCACCAGGUUAAUCCCCGGGAUUGCGGGACUGUUAUAUGAGGAAAGAUUGGAAAGACUGGGCUUGUAGUCGCUGGAAUUUAGAAGGAUGAGAGCGGAACUUCCCAAUGUUGGGGAAGUCCAGAAUAAGGGGUCACAGUUUAAGGAUAAGGGGGAAAUCUUUUAGGACCGAGAUGAGGAAAACAUUUUUCACACAGAGAGUGGUGAAUCUCUGGAAUUCUCUGCCACAGAAGGUAGUUGAGGCCAGUUCAUUGGCUAUAUUUAAGAGGGAGUUAGAUGUGGCCCUUGUGGCUAAAGGGAUCAGGAGGUAUGGAGAGAAGGCAGGUACAGGAUACUGAGUUGGAUGAUCAACCAUGAUCAUAUAGAAUGGUGGUGCAGGCUCGAAGGGCCGAAUGGCCUACUCCUGCACCUAUUUUCUAUGUUUCUAUGUUUUCUAAAUGUGUAAAACUAUGAAAGGACUGGACAAGCUAGAUGCAGGAAAAAUGUUCCCAUGGUUGGGCGAGUCCAGAACCAGGGGCCACAGUCUAAGAAUAAAGGGGAGGCCAUUUAAAAUUGAGAUGAGAAAAAAUGUUUUCACCCAGAGAGUUGUGAAUUUGUGGAAUUCCCUGCCAUGGAAGGCAGUGGAGGCCAAUUCACUGGAUGAAUCUAAAAGAGAAUUAGAUAGAGCUCUUGGGGUUAGCGGAAUCAAGGGAUAUGGGGAGAAGGCAGACACGUGUUACUGAUUAUGGACGAUCAGCCAUGAUCACAAUGAAUGGCAGUGCUGGCUCGAAGGGCCAAACUUCCCCCUCCUGCACCUAUUUUCUAUGUUUCUAUGACACUGGAAAUGAGUCAUCUUAGCCCAGUACUGCAUGUCCAGGGCAGUCACGCCAAGGCAGAACAUGAGGUGCGGGGAGUUCCUCAGCCCGGGGGGGAACCUCCUGUCCGAAACAACGCAGCUGACACAUCUCAGCGUAACUUUGUAACGGAGGGUCAAAACGCCAGGCUGUGACAAAAGUAACAAUCUGAAGAGACUGUGACCAGUUAAAGUGGAGAGCCAGUAUGCAGUGCGGGGCUAUUGACGAGAACUCACCAGCAAUCAGCAGUCUCAGCGGCCAACAUUACCGAGGAGCCUCUGGAUCAGAACGACCCCGCUGCGGCCCAAACAUAUUCAGACGCCCUCAAAUCCGUCUGCUACCGGGAGGCGGCCUGGCGAUCGGACAGGUCAUCGCGGACAAUGCAAGCACUGCCGGAGAAGACGCACGCAGGCAGCUCCGACUCCAAGAUGGAGACCAGCAAACUGGAGAGCUACUACCAUUUCUGCGGCAAGGCUUUGAGGAUCACCCGGGACUUGAGCGAUAAUCUCGGCAUAUCCGCGAUAAUCUGGGAAUCUGGCCUCGUUCUGUGCCGGUACUUCCAGCAAGAAAAGAUCGAUUUUCUGGGGAAGAAGGUGAUUGAAUUAGGAUCGGGCACUGGGAUCGUGGGGAUCCUUGCAACCCUGCUAGGUGAGUAGGUGCCCCACGGCAUGCGGUGGCU